UGCCACAGCCAUGUCACCCUGCAGCCCAAGACCGGUUACUCACCGAAGCUAAGCAGGGCUGAGCCUGGUCAGUAGCUGGAUGGGAGACCACUAGGGAACACUAUGUUGCUGUUGGAA
rfam:Danio rerio chromosome 8, GRCz11 reference primary assembly.